rnacentral:rRNA from 1 species
AGAGUUUGAUCAUGGCUCAGGAUGAACGCUGGCGGCGUGCCUAAUACAUGCAAGUCGAACGAGGUGCUUUUGUAGCAAUACGAAAGUAUCCUAGUGGCGAACGGGUGAGUAACACGUUGGUGACCUGCCCCAAAGUGUGGGAUAACAGUCCGAAAGGAUUGCUAAUACCGCAUGUGGUCUCCGGGUUUAGAAACCGGUGACUAAAGCAGUAAUGCGCUUUGGGAGGGACCUGCGUCCCAUCAGCUAGUUGGUGAGGUAACGGCCCACCAAGGCUACGACGGGUAGGGGACCUGAGAGGGUGACCCCCCACAAUGGAACUGAAACACGGUCCAUACACCUACGGGUGGCAGCAGUAGGGAAUAUUGCUCAAUGGGCGAAAGCCUGAAGCAGCAACGCCGCGUGUGCGAAGAAGGCCUUCGGGUCGUAAAGCACUUUUCUGAGAGAUGAGAAAGGACAGUAUCUCAGGAAUAAGUCUCGGCUAACUACGUGCCAGCAGCCGCGGUAAAACGUAGGAGGCAAGCGUUAUCCGGAUUCACUGGGCGUAAAGCGCGUGCAGGCGGUUCGGUAAGUUGGGCGUGAAAUCUCCUGGCUUAACUAGGAGAGGUCGUCCAAUACUACCGGGCUAGAGAGUGGUAGAGGAAGAUGGAAUUCCCGGUGUAGUGGUGAAAUGCGUAGAUAUCGGGAGGAACACCAGUGGCGAAAGCGAUCUUCUGGACCAUUUCUGACGCUCAGACGCGAAAGCUAGGGUAGUAAACGGGAUUAGAGACCCCGGUAAUCCUAGCCGUAAACGAUGUAGACUUGGCGUCGGUGGCUUAAACACCAUCGGUGCCGCAGCAAACGCGAUAAGUCUACCGCCUGGGGACUACGAUCGCAAGAUUAAAACUCAAAUGAAUUGACGG